UCAAUAAAAUAAAUAUACAACUCUAGUCUCCAAAACUAGUAUUUUAAUUAAACUAUUCAUUG
rnacentral:tRNA from 1 species